ensembl:lncRNA
CAUUCUUUUCCUUGUACUAUUUUUCCUGCAAGACAGCGACUUGAACCUGAGAUUUACUUUCUUGUAACUUUUCUUUUUUUGUGCCUUGUUUCUCCACAGUGACUCCAAGUCUUUGAUUGCUCUUCCCAAGAGCUACUUACAGGAAAGCUCUCCCAGCAGAGCGCUCAGGUUACUGUUUAGUAAAAAGGCGCUUUUAUUCCCAGUAAUUAGUGAGGCUAACUCAAGGCUUGGAGCAAAGCACGCAAGUCUCCUUCUCCGGCUCUCUCUUUCCAAACAUACAGAGAGGAUCUGAAACGUUAGGUCCUCAGACGCUGAGACUUGGUGAGCAUAAGAGACGUCUUUAAAAACAAACAGAGCUGCAGCUUUAUGGACCUCUUUGCUGCCUGGAACACAACUCACUAAGGAAAAUCCGGUCCUGUUCGCGCCAGAGGAACAUAAACACCCCCUGCAAACAGCACCAGUCCUAAGCCUGUUUUUGAUCAGUACCAUUAUUAUACCACCUGCAAACAUUUACAGGAGCUGCAACCGCUCAUGCUCUUCCAUUCAAUCCCUGUGGGUAUUGGGCAGGUUUAUGGGUGUGACAAUGCAUAGAUCUUCUCACCCAUAACAUUUGCACAUGCAACUAUUGGAUCAGCAGUUGGUAUGGUGUCCAUUAAGAGACCACAAGUGUAUUUGAAUAUUUAAUAAUAAAUAUCACACAUAAUAUGUUAGAUUCACAAUCAUUUUCUACAGUUCAUUAUAAUUUCUUUUUGAACAUUAUUUAACAUGUUCCUCUAACCAGCA